GACGAACGCUGGCGGCGUGCUUAACACACGCAAGUCGAACGGAAAGGCCCUGCUUGCAGGGUACUCGAGUGGCGAACGGGUGAGUAACACGUGGGUGAUCUGCCCUGCACUUCGGGAUAAGCCUGGGAAACUGGGUCUAAUACCGGAUAGGAGCCAUUACUAGUGUGUUGGUUGGAAAGUUUUUUCGGUGUAGGAUGAGCUCGCGGCCUAUCAGCUUGUUGGUGGGGUAAUGGCCUACCAAGGCGGCGACGGGUCGCCGGCCUGAGAGGGUGGACGGCCACAUUGGGACUGAGAUACGGCCCAGACUCCUACGGGAGGCAGCAGUGGGGAAUAUUGCACAAUGGGCGCAAGCCUGAUGCAGCGACGCCGCGUGGUGGAUGACGGCCUUCGGGUUGUAAACUCCUUUCGCUAGGGACGAAGCUUUUGUGACGGUACCUAGAUAAGAAGCACCGGCUAACUACGUG
rnacentral:rRNA from 1 species